CAAAUGAAUUGACGGGGGCCCGCACAAGCGGUGGAGCAUGUGGUUAAUUCGACGCAACGCGAAGAACCUUACCAGGGCUUGACAUCCCCUGACCGCGUAUGAAAGUACGUUUUCACCCUCGGGUGACAGGGAGACAGGUGGUGCAUGGUUGUCGUCAGCUCGUGUCGUGAGAUGUUGGGGUUAAGUCCCGCAACGAGCGCAACCCCUACGUUUAGUUGCUAACGCGUGAAGGCGAGCACUCUAGACGAACUGCCGUUGACAAAACGGAGGAAGGUGGGAUGACGUCAAAUCAUCAUGCCCCUUAUGUUCUGGGCUACACACGUGCUACAAUGGCCGGUACAGACGGACGCAAAGCCGCGAGGUGGAGCAAAUCCUAAAAAGCCGGUCUCAGUUCGGAUUGCAGGCUGCAAUUCGCCUGCAUGAAGUCGGAAUCGCUAGUAAUCGCAGGUCAGCAUACUGCGGUGAAUACGUUCCCGGGCCUU
rnacentral:rRNA from 1 species